UUGGUAGCUUUUUUCUCAUCUUAUGGCGUAUUCACGAGCCGUGCAUUUCGUUCUCCAAAAGUUUGAUGAAAUGAGAGUUCUAUACUGCAGACCUACACCAUAUGUUAGCUAUGAAUGCCAAAAAGUUAAAGAUACAUAGACAGAGCAACCUGAUUUUACACUAAUCUAAGACAAUUCUAUUUCCUUAACAAGAAAAUAAUCUAAGACAUAGUUAUUAUCUAGCAAUAUUUUAGGUGAUCCAGAGGGGAAGAACUAAGAGCCCCAUGUCACGGACUUAGCGUUUUCGUUCGCAAAGCCCGUGCGGCGCCCACCUUUCCUGCUCGAAGAUGGACAAGCCUUUGUCCCUGUUGCUAGCCCGGACCUUCGCGUCCUACGACUAAGUAUGCAAAGGGAAAUGACAAAGAGAAAGAGGCAGAGGUUCUCUCAAAAAACUAAGUACUACACUACUUAGAAAUGAGAAUUACAACCUACAAACAGCAUACAAACACACUCUCUCUUGUGUGCUUUGGCCUUAGCCAAACCCCUCUAUUUAUAGGCCUAAAGGUGCCUUUUCAACUCACCCACACACAUAACUCACCCAUUAUUACAUACAUAAUGAGCCUACAUAAUGAGCCCUCAUAAAUGCCAAAAGCUCAAGAGUCACCCAUAACUCCCAUGAGUUUCAUGACCCUUGAGUUUCCCACAGCGGGUUGGGUUUGGGUCUACUUGCCAACCCGAUUCGACCCGUUUUCAACCCGAACUCGCUAAGCAGAUUUGGGCCAGGGACCGGGCUGCAUAGAAAUUUUUCUAAGUCCCUGACACCCAGCUCUUUAAUAUCUCAGAUCAUUUUUCCUUGCAAAUUGCAACUCCCAGUAAUGAAAGUUGGACUAUAUAUAUGAAAGGAGAUUGAUUAACUUAGCAGUGGAAAAUAUUUAGAUGUGAUUUCUAUACCUAUGAGAUUUGCAUGACCAUAUUCUUUGGUUAGUAAAUUGGUACCGUGCGGCAUUCAUUGUGUCAUACCAGUAUCACAGAUUACCAAACGGUCAGUUUCUAUUUCUUGGUUAUGCAGCAUAUCCUAGUAGACUACUAUAUAAUAGAACUAAAAGAUUAGCCAAAAUGUCAAACUAUAAGAACUUUAUUUUUCUAAUAGUAAAAGUCUGAAUAUUUGUGGUUUGUCUUAGUUUUUCUCCGAAAGCCAACUGAAGCAGCUAAAUGCAGAACCCUAGCGUUUGUAACUAUGAUGUACUAUAUACACCAUACCAUUUCUAAUCUUUCAUUUCAAAAAGAUGGGUGGUUUUAGAAAGUGAUAUGGAUGGUUUUAGAAUGUGAUAUGAUCGAAAUAAAAUUUCUUAACAAAAUUCUAACAAAUAGAAGCAUGCUUUUUCAAUUGGCAAAAUAGAAUGUACAUAUCAUUAAAAUCAUUAAAGAGAAACAACAAAUAACAAAAGGUUACCCAUGAAAAGUUCUACACUGAAGAUGUAGUAACGAAUAAGAUAGCGCUAGUGCAGUUGCAUGCAUGCAGGGUAAGGGCUAAAUUUGUUUGCACCUAAUAUGUAACGGUGUAUAGUUGGGACGAGAACAAUCUAGCCCACCUUAUUAGCUCAGCUGUUGAAUCAGUUUUGCAUUCAACUUUAUACAACACACAGAAGAACUGAGCCUUUCAAAUUGCUAUACUUAGAUAAAUUUUCUGAUUCAAUUCAACCGCCAACUGUCUAACAAUCCAUAAAAAUAAGUAAACAAACUCUCCGAUGAAAAGAUACUGGAUCAGAAGGCCAAUGCCCCCAUCAAUAGCACUUAGACUUAUACGGAUGGACGGAAAUAUU
rnacentral:lncRNA from 1 species